rnacentral:rRNA from 1 species
GACGAACGCUGGCGGCGUGCUUAACACAUGCAAGUCGAACGGAAAGGCCCUGCUUUUGUGGGGUGCUCGAGUGGCGAUCGGGUGAGUAACACGUGUGUAACCUGCCCUUGACUUUUGGAUAACUUCAGGUAACUUGGGCUAAUACCGUAUAGGAGCUCCUGCUGCAUGGUGGGGGUUGGAAAGUUUCGGCGGUUGGGUAUGGACUCGCGGCUUAUCAGCUUGUUGGUUGGGUAGUGGCUUACCAAGGCUUUGACGGGUAGCCGGCCUGGCAGGGUGACCGGGAAGAUAGGGAAUGAGAGACGGCACAGACUCCUACGGGGGGAAGGAGUGGGGAAUAUUGAACAAUGGGCGGAAGCGUGAUGGAGCAACGAAGGGUGCGGGAUGACGGCCUUCGGGUUGUAAACCGCUUUCGCCUGAGAAGAAGCGUGAGUGACGGUAAUGGGUAAAGAAGCACCGGCUAACUACGU